CGGUAACAGCCCGGUAGUUGAAAUAGCUUUCCCUCCAGAGUGGAUCCUGAGUACGGCGGAACACGUGAAAUUCCGUCGGAAUCCGGGAGGACCAUCUCCCAAGGCUAAAUACUCCCUAGUGACCGAUAGUGAACCAGUACCGUGAGGGAAAGGUGAAAAGCACCCCGGAAGGGGAGUGAAACAGUUCCUGAAACCGUGUGCCUACAAGUAGUUAGAGCCCGUUAAUGGGUGAUAGCGUGCCUUUUGUAGAAUGAACCGGCGAGUUACGAUUUGUUGCAAGGUUAAGCGGAAAAAGCGGAGCCGUAGCGAAAGCGAGUCUGAAUAGGGCGCAUAAGUAACAGGUCGUAGACCCGAAACCAGGUGAUCUACCCAUGUCCAGGAUGAAGGUAAGGUAAUACUUACUGGAGGUCCGAACCCACGCACGUUGAAAAGUGCGGGGAUGAGGUGUGGGUAGCGGAGAAAUUCCAAUCGAACUUGGAGAUAGCUGGUUCUCUCCGAAAUAGCUUUAGGGCUAGCCUCGAGGUAAAGAGUCAUGGAGGUAGAGCACUGUUUGGACUAGGGGCCCUUCUCGGGUUACCGAAUUCAGAUAAACUCCGAAUGCCAUGUACUUAUACUCGGGAGUCAGACUGCGAGUGAUAAGAUCCGUAGUCGAAAGGGAAACAGCCCAGACCACCAGUUAAGGUCCCCAAAUAUAUGUUAAGUGGAAAAGGAUGUGGGGUUGCUUAGACAACCAGGAUGUUGGCUUAGAAGCAGCCACCAUUGAAAGAGUGCGUAAUAGCUCACUGGUCGAGUGACCCCGCGCCGAAAAUGUACCGGGGCUAAACAUAUUACCGAAACUGUGGAUGAACCUCUUUAGAGGUUCGUGGUAGGAGAGCGUUCUAAGGGCGGUGAAGUCAGACCGGAAGGACUGGUGGAGCGCUUAGAAGUGAGAAUGCCGGUAUGAGUAGCGAAAGAAGGGUGAGAAUCCCUUCCACCGAAUAUCUAAGGUUUCCUGAGGAAGGCUCGUCCGCUCAGGGUUAGUCGGGACCUAAGCCGAGGCCGAUAGGCGUAGGCGAUGGACAACAGGUAGAGAUUCCUGUACCAGUGCUAAUUGUUUAACCGAUGGGGUGACACAGAAGGAUAGGGAAUCGCACGAAUGGAAAUGUGCGUCCAAGCAGUGAGUGUGAGAAGUAGGCAAAUCCGCUUCUCGCGAAGCAUGAGCUGUGAUGGGGAAGGAAAUUAAGUACGGAAGUUCCUGAUUUCACGCUGUCAAGAAAAGCCUCUAGGAAGAGUAGUACUGCCCGUACCGCAAACCGACACAGGUAGAUGAGGAGAGAAUCCUAAGGUGAGCGAGAGAACUCUCGUUAAGGAACUCGGCAAAAUGACCCCGUAACUUCGGGAGAAGGGGUGCUCUAUUAGGGUGCAAGCCCGAGAGAGCCGCAGUGAAUAGGCCCAGGCGACUGUUUAGCAAAAACACAGGUCUCUGCAAAACCGUAAGGUGACGUAUAGGGGCUGACGCCUGCCCGGUGCUGGAAGGUUAAGAGGAGUGCUUAGCUUCGGCGAAGGUACGAAUUGAAGCCCCAGUAAACGGCGGCCGUAACUAUAACGGUCCUAAGGUAGCGAAAUUCCUUGUCGGGUAAGUUCCGACCCGCACGAAAGGCGCAACGAUCUGGGCACUGUCUCAACGAGAGACUCGGUGAAAUUAUAGUACCUGUGAAGAUGCAGGUUACCCGCGACAGGACGGAAAGACCCCGUGGAGCUUUACUGCAACCUGAUAUGGAAUGUUUGUACCGCUUGUACAGGAUAGGUAGGAGCCGAAGAGACGUGUGCGCUAGCAUACGAGGAGGCAAUGGUGGGAUACUACCCUGGCUGUAUGACCAUUCUAACCCGCCACGCUUAGCGCGUGGGGAGACAGUGUCAGGUGGGCAGUUUGACUGGGGCGGUCGCCUCCUAAAGAGUAACGGAGGCGCCCAAAGGUUCCCUCAGAAUGGAUGGAAAUCAUUCGCAGAGUGUAAAGGCACAAGGGAGCUUGACUGCGAGACUGACAAGUCGAGCAGGGACGAAAGUCGGGCUUAGUGAUCCGGUGGUUCCGCAUGGAAGGGCCAUCGCUCAACGGAUAAAAGCUACCCCGGGGAUAACAGGCUUAUCUCCCCCAAGAGUCCACAUCGACGGGGAGGUUUGGCACCUCGAUGUCGGCUCGUCGCAUCCUGGGGCUGUAGUCGGUCCCAAGGGUUGGGCUGUUCGCCCAUUAAAGCGGCACGCGAGCUGGGUUCAGAACGUCGUGAGACAGUUCGGUCCCUAUCCGUCGCGGGCGCAGGAAAUUUGAGAGGAGCUGUCCUUAGUACGAGAGGACCGGGAUGGACACACCGCUGGUGUACCAGUUGUUCCGCCAGGAGCAUCGCUGGGUAGCUAUGUGUGGCAGGGAUAAACGCUGAAAGCAUCUAAGCGUGAAGCCCCCCUCAAGAUGAGAUUUCCCAUUUCUUCGGAAAGUAAGAUCCCUGAAAGAUGAUCAGGUAGAUAGGUUUGGAGUGGAAGUGUAGCGAUACAUGGAGCGGACAAAUACUAAUCGAUCGAGGACUUAACCAA
rnacentral:rRNA from 1 species